ensembl:lncRNA
UGCAGCUAACCAGAGCUGGAGGUGGAGGGCAUGACAGCAACACUACAUGGGAACACAGUAUACAAAGCAACUGCACAGCUAUACACUGCAACAAAGAACACUAAAUAUUUGGACUGAAUGCGCAGGAAACCGUAAUGAAAAUUAAAAUUCUAAUUGUGACGAGAAACUAGACGACUUGGUAGUCAGGAUGACGAUAGUCAACACAAUUCAAAGACGGGCUCAUGCCCUCCACCUCCAGCUGGGCUUUGUGGCAACCUUCCUUUCCCUUUUUUCUCUUGUGGGUAUAAGUGAGAUGUGAGUGGAAUGUGUGCAGGUGCAGACCACUGGAUGAUUAUCUGAGUGGUCCACCUGAAACUCAUCUACCGUCACCAUAAAAGCCAGGAUCAGACCACUACACGAUACUGUACCAUUGAACAACUCCAGUUCCAUGACCUUUCCUGCCCACGCUGUCUGCCUCCUGCCAUAUCUCCAGUCCGCCAGCCUCAUCCAACCUGGCCCUGUCCAGGUUCCCUCUCAGGAAUCUCCUCCUGGUUCCUGCACCUGCCAAGAUGACACUGGCACCACGACACAGGCCUCCUCCAUCCACAAUCCCUCACCCUCUGUCUCCGUCAGGCCAUCAGCUAAGUCGGCGCUGCGCUUUCUCUGGGAGAGAGAGAAGAGGGAGAAGAAGAUCCAGGAGAAAGAAGAGGAAGACGAGGGUCCAGGAGAAGGAGAAGAUGGAGAAGAUGAUCCUGAAAAGAGAGAAAAAGAUCCUGGAGAGGAAGAAGUUCAGUGGGAGGGCAGAGGUGCAGGGAGCAGCAUGGAGAACUAAAGAGAGGAAAAGCAGGUUAGAUAGAGCACAUGAAAAUCACACAGUGUGUAGAAGCCUUAAGACGAGACGAGUUGUGGAAAGGAGCCGAGGAUGUGCAAUUAGUGAAAUGAGAAAAGGGGCAAGUGUCUUUAAACAUAGGCUACAAUAAGUUGUGAAAAGGGGCUCAUACUCACGUGAUCAUGGCAGGGGUUUGGGUAGUUACAGAUAUUAUUUGGGAAGGCAGAGCGCACUAACAUCUUCACCUCUUCAGGAAAGACAUAGGUGGGUCUACGCAGAUUCCGGUCCUUCACACCAACCCCAUGAAGCAUCUGGACCAAAAGUGAGAAGAGGAUGAAGAGGAAAAGUCAGUAAUUCAUAGUGACUGGUAGCUGUGAAUACACAGGACUCAGGGGUAGAAUUCAAGGUUGAGGAUUCGCAGUUCAAACUGAGUCACACUGCUGUUAGAUGAGUACAGACCAGUUUCUUCCCCAGAAGAUGGUAGACCUUCUUUCGACGAGUGCGGUCACUCCUAUGGCGUUUGGCAGCGUGGAGCAGUGACGCCAUCCACACAGGAAGUCUGUAGAAAGAGGAGGAGUUACAGAUAUAGCAGAAGAAAAUAUGCACUUGGGCAUAACACAACUGAAAAAAACAAUCCCUAAGUCUGUGUCAGAUUAGUGCAGUGGUUGUAUUAGCAGCAGUUGUGCAAUUGUCAUACUCAUCUGAAAGUACCCGAAAAUAUCAUCUAAAAUAGCCACGCAAACUGAACAUGGAACUUCAGUCAUUUGCCAUGCAUGCUGCUAAAUUAAAACUCUUAAAAAUGAAAUAAAAAAUACACGGCAGAUCCAAGAAAUCAUGUAAAAUUGCUCAGCUGUUCAUUCCAGAAGAAAAUGUUUGCGUCCUCAUUAAUCGCUUCCUAGCACUGUUGGCAAACCACAAAUAAUGGGCCAUGAUCUCCUUUUCUGACACUGAUCUGUAAGUGUCACGAAAAGCCGCAGUUUCAAAAUGUGUACUGGGUUUAUGCAUAACGUUUGUGCUGAACUAGAG